GUUCACCUGAGUAUCUCCAGUUUACACUGUGGACUCUUUAGCCCAGCAGAGAGUAGCUCCACUCCUGAAUCCUGUAGUUUGUUGUUGCUGAGAUCCAGCUCUUUCAAGGAUGGACAGGACUGCUACUUUUUAUACUGGAUGGACUAACCUGCUUCUGUGCUGACAGGCACGUAUGAUCUGGGAAAACCAGAGGACGCAGACUGUGCACCUACAUGAACAAAGGUCCAGCUCAUCCAGCACCUGCUCUGAGAUCAGGAGCAUGCAGGCAAGUGCUGAACACUGUCCAGGAGAGAGCUUCUCUUCUGAGCAUUUCUCUGAUUUUAGAUACUCC